AAGCAGUUAGCUGACCUGCUACAACAGACAACGAGCACUGACCCAACAGCAAUUAGAUGCCUUGUCCUGAGAGGACUUCCAGUCAUUCUUGGGGAUGAUGCAUCUAUGUUCUUUAAGAGCAGUUUGGCUCUUAAUGAGGGAGAUUCCAUAAACAUUCCAGUGGGAAUCCUCUGCUAUGAGGACACCAGCGCUGCAAACCCAGCAAGCUCAGCAUUGCCACAACUAAACCCCUCAAGAGUGGGGAUC